rnacentral:rRNA from 1 species
AAUCAUGGCUCAGGACGAACGUUGGCGGCGCGCCUAACACAUGCAAGUCGAACGAGAGAUGAGGAGCUUGCUCUUCAGAUCGAGUGGCGAACGGGUGAGUAACGCGUGAGGAACCUGCCUCAAAGAGGGGGACAACAGUUGGAAACGACUGCUAAUACCGCAUAAGCCCACGGCUCGGCAUCGAGCAGAGGGAAAAGGAGUGAUCCGCUUUGAGAUGGCCUCGCGUCCGAUUAG